rnacentral:tRNA from 1 species
GCGGGUGCAGCUCGAAGGUCGAGCGCCGGGGCGCCUACCCGGAGGUGAGGGUUCGAUUCCCUUCUCCCGCUCCA